rnacentral:rRNA from 1 species
GACGAACGCUGGCGGCGUGCUUAACACAUGCAAGUCGAACGGAAAGGCCCUGCUUUUGUGGGGUGCUCGAGUGGCGAACGGGUGAGUAACACGUGAGUAACCUGCCCUUGACUUUGGGAUAACUUCAGGAAACUGGGGCUAAUACCGGAUAGGAGCUCCUGCUGCAUGGUGGGGGUUGGAAAGUUUCGGCGGUUGGGGAUGGACUCCCGGCUUAUCAGCUUGUUGGUGGGGUAGUGGCUUUCCAAGGCGUUGACGGGUGGCCGGCCUGAGAGGGUGACCGGCCACAUUAGGACUGUGAGACGGACCAGACUCCUACGGGAGGCAGCAGUGGGGAAUAUUGCACAAUGGGCGGAAGCCUGUUGCAGUAACGCCGCGUGCGGGAUGACGGCCUUCGGGUUGUAAACCGCUUUCGCCUGUGACGAAGCGUGAGUGACGGUAAUGGGUAAAGAAGCACCGGCUAACUACGUG